GUCGGGAAUUUUGGACAAUGGGCGAAAGCCUGAUCCAGCGACGCCGCGUGCAGGAUGAAGUCCUUCGGGAUGUAAACUGCUGUCGGGCGGGACGAACGAACUACGUGUGAAUAACACGUGGAAGUGACGGUACCGCCCAAGGAAGCACCGGCUAACUCUGUGCCAGCAGCCGCGGUAAUACAGAGGGUGCAAGCGUUGUUCGGAAUGACUGGGCGUAAAGGGCGCGUAGGUGGUCAAGCAUGUCCGUUGUGAAAACAACAUCGCUUAACGAGUUGUCCGCAUCGGAAACUGCCUGACUUGAGUAUAGAAGAGGAGAACGGAAUUCCUGGUGUAGCGGUGGAAUGUGUAGAUAUCAGGAGGAACACCGGUGGCGAAGGCGGUUCUCUGGUCUAAUACUGACGCUGAGGCGCGAAAGCUAGGGGAGCAAACGGGAUUAGAAACCCCGGUAGUCC
rnacentral:rRNA from 1 species